GGGAUCGUAGCCAAAUUGGAAAGGCACCAGUCCUGCAAACUGGAAAUUGUGGGUUCGAGUCCCACCGGUUCCA
rnacentral:tRNA from 1 species